rnacentral:rRNA from 1 species
UACGUAGGGUGCGAGCGUUAAUCGGAAUUACUGGGCGUAAAGCGUGCGCAGGCGGUUCGUUGUGUCGGCGGUGAAAGCCCCGGGCUUAACCUGGGAAUGGCCGUUGAAACUGGCGAACUGGAGUGUGGCAGAGGGGGGUGGAAUUCCGGCGUGUAGCAGUGAAAUGCGUAGAGAUGCGGAGGAACACCGAUGGCGAAGGCAGCCCCC